rnacentral:rRNA from 1 species
GACAGAGGGUGCAAACGUUGUUCGGAAUUACUGGGCGUAAAGCGCGUGUAGGCGGCUAUGCAAGUCGGAUGUGAAAGCCCCUCGGCUCAACCGGGGAAGUGCACUCGAAACUGCAAAGCUAGAGUCUCGGAGAGGAUCGUGGAAUUCUCGGUGUAGAGGUGAAAUUCGUAGAUAUCAAGCAGAACACCUGCGGCGAAGGCGGCCUUCUGGACGAUGACUGACGCUGAGACACGAAAGCGUGGGGAGCAAACAGG